GACGAACGCUGGCGGCGUGCCUAAUACAUGCAAGUAGAACGCUGAAGGAGGAGCUUGCUUCUCCGGAUGAGUUGCGAACGGGUGAGUAACGCGUAGGUAACCUGCCUGGUAGCGGGGGAUAACUAUUGGAAACGAUAGCUAAUACCGCAUAAGAGUAGAUGUCGCAUGACAUUUGCUUAAAAGGUGCAACUGCACCACUACCAGAUGGACCUGCGUUGUAUUAGCAAGUUGGUGAGGUAACGGCUCACCAAGGCAACGAUCCAUAGCCGACCUGAGAGGGGGGUCGGCCGCACUGGGAGUGAGACAGGGCACAGAGUGCUUCGGGAGGCAGCCGUAGGGAUUCUGCGGCAAUGGGCGGAAGUCUGAGCGAGCAAGGCCGCGGGAGUGAAGAAGGUCGUCGGAUGGGAAAGCUCUGUUGUAGGAGAAGAAAGAGUGUGAGAGUGGAAAGUUCACACUGUGACGGUAACUUAUAAGAAAGCGACGGCUAACUACGUG
rnacentral:rRNA from 1 species